GGGUUGUGAGGUUAAGCGACUAAGCGUACACGGUGGAUGCCCUGGCAGUCAGAGGCGAUGAAGGACGUGCUAAUCUGCGAUAAGCGUCGGUAAGGUGAUAUGAACCGUUAUAACCGGCGAUUUCCGAAUGGGGAAACCCAGUGUGAUUCGACACACUAUCAUUAACUGAAUCCAUAGGUUAAUGAGGCGAACCGGGGGAACUGAAACAUCUAAGUACCCCGAGGAAAAGAAAUCAACCGAGAUUCCCCCAGUAGCGGCGAGCGAACGGGGAGCAGCCCAGAGCCUGAAUCAGUGUGUGUGUUAGUGGAAGCGUCUGGAAAGGCGCGCGAUACAGGGUGACAGCCCCGUACACAAAAAUGCACAUGCUGUGAGCUCGAUGAGUAGGGCGGGACACGUGGUAUCCUGUCUGAAUAUGGGGGGACCAUCCUCCAAGGCUAAAUACUCCUGACUGACCGAUAGUGAACCAGUACCGUGAGGGAAAGGCGAAAAGAACCCCGGCGAGGGGAGUGAAAAAGAACCUGAAACCGUGUACGUACAAGCAGUGGGAGCACGCUUAGGCGUGUGACUGCGUACCUUUUGUAUAAUGGGUCAGCGACUUAUAUUCUGUAGCAAGGUUAACCGAAUAGGGGAGCCGAAGGGAAACCGAGUCUUAACUGGGCGUUAAGUUGCAGGGUAUAGACCCGAAACCCGGUGAUCUAGCCAUGGGCAGGUUGAAGGUUGGGUAACACUAACUGGAGGACCGAACCGACUAAUGUUGAAAAAUUAGCGGAUGACUUGUGGCUGGGGGUGAAAGGCCAAUCAAACCGGGAGAUAGCUGGUUCUCCCCGAAAGCUAUUUAGGUAGCGCCUCGUGAAUUCAUCUCCGGGGGUAGAGCACUGUUUCGGCAAGGGGGUCAUCCCGACUUACCAACCCGAUGCAAACUGCGAAUACCGGAGAAUGUUAUCACGGGAGACACACGGCGGGUGCUAACGUCCGUCGUGAAGAGGGAAACAACCCAGACCGCCAGCUAAGGUCCCAAAGUCAUGGUUAAGUGGGAAACGAUGUGGGAAGGCCCAGACAGCCAGGAUGUUGGCUUAGAAGCAGCCAUCAUUUAAAGAAAGCGUAAUAGCUCACUGGUCGAGUCGGCCUGCGCGGAAGAUGUAACGGGGCUAAACCAUGCACCGAAGCUGCGGCAGCGACGCUUAUGCGUUGUUGGGUAGGGGAGCGUUCUGUAAGCCUGCGAAGGUGUGCUGUGAGGCAUGCUGGAGGUAUCAGAAGUGCGAAUGCUGACAUAAGUAACGAUAAAGCGGGUGAAAAGCCCGCUCGCCGGAAGACCAAGGGUUCCUGUCCAACGUUAAUCGGGGCAGGGUGAGUCGACCCCUAAGGCGAGGCCGAAAGGCGUAGUCGAUGGGAAACAGGUUAAUAUUCCUGUACUUGGUGUUACUGCGAAGGGGGGACGGAGAAGGCUAUGUUGGCCGGGCGACGGUUGUCCCGGUUUAAGCGUGUAGGCUGGUUUUCCAGGCAAAUCCGGAAAAUCAAGGCUGAGGCGUGAUGACGAGGCACUACGGUGCUGAAGCAACAAAUGCCCUGCUUCCAGGAAAAGCCUCUAAGCAUCAGGUAACAUCAAAUCGUACCCCAAACCGACACAGGUGGUCAGGUAGAGAAUACCAAGGCGCUUGAGAGAACUCGGGUGAAGGAACUAGGCAAAAUGGUGCCGUAACUUCGGGAGAAGGCACGCUGAUAUGUAGGUGAAGUCCCUCGCGGAUGGAGCUGAAAUCAGUCGAAGAUACCAGCUGGCUGCAACUGUUUAUUAAAAACACAGCACUGUGCAAACACGAAAGUGGACGUAUACGGUGUGACGCCUGCCCGGUGCCGGAAGGUUAAUUGAUGGGGUUAGCGGUAACGCGAAGCUCUUGAUCGAAGCCCCGGUAAACGGCGGCCGUAACUAUAACGGUCCUAAGGUAGCGAAAUUCCUUGUCGGGUAAGUUCCGACCUGCACGAAUGGCGUAAUGAUGGCCAGGCUGUCUCCACCCGAGACUCAGUGAAAUUGAACUCGCUGUGAAGAUGCAGUGUACCCGCGGCAAGACGGAAAGACCCCGUGAACCUUUACUAUAGCUUGACACUGAACAUUGAGCCUUGAUGUGUAGGAUAGGUGGGAGGCUUUGAAGUGUGGACGCCAGUCUGCAUGGAGCCGACCUUGAAAUACCACCCUUUAAUGUUUGAUGUUCUAACGUUGACCCGUGAUCCGGGUUGCGGACAGUGUCUGGUGGGUAGUUUGACUGGGGCGGUCUCCUCCUAAAGAGUAACGGAGGAGCACGAAGGUUGGCUAAUCCUGGUCGGACAUCAGGAGGUUAGUGCAAUGGCAUAAGCCAGCUUGACUGCGAGCGUGACGGCGCGAGCAGGUGCGAAAGCAGGUCAUAGUGAUCCGGUGGUUCUGAAUGGAAGGGCCAUCGCUCAACGGAUAAAAGGUACUCCGGGGAUAACAGGCUGAUACCGCCCAAGAGUUCAUAUCGACGGCGGUGUUUGGCACCUCGAUGUCGGCUCAUCACAUCCUGGGGCUGAAGUAGGUCCCAAGGGUAUGGCUGUUCGCCAUUUAAAGUGGUACGCGAGCUGGGUUUAGAACGUCGUGAGACAGUUCGGUCCCUAUCUGCCGUGGGCGCUGGAGAACUGAGGGGGGCUGCUCCUAGUACGAGAGGACCGGAGUGGACGCAUCACUGGUGUUCGGGUUGUCAUGCCAAUGGCACUGCCCGGUAGCUAAAUGCGGAAGAGAUAAGUGCUGAAAGCAUCUAAGCACGAAACUUGCCCCGAGAUGAGUUCUCCCUGACCCUUUAAGGGUCCUGAAGGAACGUUGAAGACGACGACGUUGAUAGGCCGGGUGUGUAAGCGCAGCGAUGCGUUGAGCUAACCGGUACUAAUGAACCGUGAGGCUUAACCUUACAACGCCGAAGGUGUUU
rnacentral:rRNA from 1 species